rnacentral:rRNA from 1 species
UAAGGAAUAUUGGUCAAUGGACGCAAGUCUGAACUAGCCAUGCCGCGUGAAGGAUGAAGGUCCUCUGGAUUGUAAACUUCUUCUAUCUGGGACGAAAAAAGCUCAUUCUUGAGCACUUGACGGUACCAGAAGAAUAAGCACCGGCUAACUCCGUGCCAGCAGCCGCGGUAAUACGGAGGGUGCAAGCGUUAUCCGGAUUUACUGGGUCUAAAGGGUGCGUAGGUGGGUCUGUAAGUCAGUGGUGAAAUCUUCGAGCUUAACUCGGAAACUGCCAUUGAUACUAUAGGUCUUGAAUCAUCUGGAGGUGAGCGGAAUAUGUCAUGUAGCGGUGAAAUGCUUAGAUAGGACAUAGAACACCGAUUGGGAAGGCAGCUCACUACGGAUGUAUUGACACUGAGGCACGAAAGCGUGGGGAUCAAACA